GAGUCCGUAGUGCAAUGGUUCGAGCACGUGCCCCCGGAUAGGGCGAGACGUAGGUUUGAGUCCUGUCUGACGCA